GAGAGAGAGGAAAGGAGGGAAAAAACGCUAAAAGAAAAAGGACAGAAACAUUCCAUUUUUUUGUGUGUCUCGACGUUGCGAGUGAAAAGUUUUCGUUUCCUUUUGUUGGUUUUGUUGGUUUUGUGAUUUU
rnacentral:ribozyme from 1 species